UCAUCGGGCAAAACACAAAAGACUCUGUGUUCUUGAAAAGGGUAGGGGAGGCCGCCUAGACGGCGCCUAAGCGUUAGGCUUGAUGGCACCGCCCGCUCUCUCUCGACUCUCCUCUUACCAGUACCGGCAGCACUUUGCAGUCCCAAGUCCCAACAUCACUCUCUCUCUCUCCCUCUCCCUCUCCCUCCCUUCCUCCUAACAAAGUCUCUCUCUUUCUUUCAAACCUCUGGUGUUUGCCGGAGUUUCUAUUCAUUUAAUCAUUUAUAACUAUAUGUUGAUUAUCUUGAAUAUUUUGGCCAUUAUAUUCUGGGUCUUUUCAAAUUGAAUGAAUAUAUGUUGAAUUGUUUUCCAGGAGGAAGCAAGAUUGGGGAACAAAGAAAAAAAUCAGACUCUGUGAUUAGGAUUUUAGAGAGACACAGUAAUAGGGACCAUGGCCUUCGUCCCAGACAGAAGGAGUUGUUCAUUGGCUUCACAUGCAAAGGGCUGAGAUGGAGAGAAUGGACAAAUUGGUGAGGGAGUCAGGAGAAGCCGUGCUUGCCAAAGAAUGUUGUCAAAAUCUGGCAAAAAGUUUUAAUCACUCCACCGGCCAUGCUGGAAAACCAAUUGUGAAAUGGAUUCAGGUGCAAAAUUGGUUCCAGGAAAGGAUGCAAGAGAGUUACCUAACAUAUUAAAAGAUCUCCAGAGAGUUUUGCCCUUCCACUAAGGCACCUAAAAGCAAAGAAAAACCUAAAGUUCAUAAAAGUUUAAAUGCUGUUGAGAAGGACAACUUCAUUGGGGACUUUUCUAAAGAGGACUACAAUGACAUGGUGAAUGGAAGGCAAAGCUGGUUAGGAGUAACUCUAGAGAGCAGAAAUGGGUGGGGCCUCUUCAUUGCCAAGAAUAAAUGAUUAUGAUACCUCAAAGUUAUGCAUAUGCAAAUGCAAUAGUGUACUCAAGUUAGAUAUGCAUUUCAGAUAAACAUUGUACUUAGUUGCUGGUCUUAUCUCGAACUAUGUCGUUGUCUUAUUAGUGUUUGAACUUUGCCGUCUAUAAUAAUGGAAUUGGGUUUGUCUUUGCUCA